UUAAUGGAUGGCGCGCCUCCUCUCACCUCUUUUCCUUUGUCUUCCGCUGCAUCUCCAUGGUGGAAAAUCACCAUUAAAGGACCCCAUUGAAGCUCAAAGAUCCAACCUCCAUAGAAGUCCCACAAGCAAGUUUCCAUCAUGUGUUAUUCUGAAAGAGAAGAUAGGGAGGGCAGUUUGGUUUGGUGCAAAUGGAUUCCUUAGAAGACAGCGGCUAUUGGGAUUUUCUCGAUUACUCUUUCAUCGAUCAAGCGCCCCCUGAUUUCCUUUGGUCCAAUAACAAUAAUAGAUAUUUUUUUAUACACACAAACUUGAAGAUUGAACUCUUGAUCAUAGAAGCUAUGUGGACUGAUGGAUGUCCAAAAAUUGACAGCAGGUGCUUCUGUGCAUGCAGCAGAGCAUGAACGCCUUCCUCUUCAAGUUAUAGUGCAUGUUCUCUUCUUUGAUUAUGUCAGGUCUUCUAUCAGCUUUCGAACACCCGGUAACAAUAGUGCAUGCGACCCUUUAUGCUCUCCAAUGAACCGAGAUGAGGGAUAUGAGACAACAACGGGAGAUAGCUGCCAAGCCACCCUCAAGAAUCAUAUCAGUCAUUUGAGGAUCAAGGAUGAAGAGUUACAUAAAAAUGGGAAGUUGAGCAAGAAGAAUAGCAAAAACAACAAAACUGACAUUCAAUUGUUGCCAUUGCGGUCAAGGAGAAUCUUUGACAAGUUAUGGAGUGUGUGAAAAGCGCAUGGAGAGAAUAGGAGUUCAGAGGCUUCUGGGAGUUCCAGUAGCCCAACUUCUUUAGGCCAGGGAGAUACCAAAUCAUAUGGCCUAUCUUUGAGACACCAGAUGCAUUCUAUCUCUUAGGAAAUUAGAAAAUUAUUUGCAACAAGUGAGAUUGAUUCAAAUUGCUAUCUAAGUAUAAAGUGGUAGGAUGUUAGCAUUAGUGGAGCUUUAGCAUGUUUGAAAAGUUGUAUGAUUCUUUUUCUUUUA